rnacentral:lncRNA from 1 species
GACAUUCCAGCAUUGCAACAACAUUCUAAACUGUGGAUCAUAAUCAGUUCCUGUGGAAGAUAACCCAAGAACAACCAUACAGAGGUGAGAUUCAGCACAUUGACAAGGAGGUGACCACUGACUAUGGGAUCAGCCCAACAGAGGCCAGUGCCAUACUGGUCAGGGUGGCAUGGCUGUGCCCAACUGGACUUCAGGGUACCUGCAAUUUCACUUCUUCCUGCAAGAAUGGAUUUGGAGCCCCAUUUUCACCUGUGCCAGCACAGCUAUGCUGUCAGUCACGUGAAAUAG